GUUCUCCUGAAAUUGUCUGAAGCAUAUUGGUUCCAGAUUUUUCCUGAAACAGGCCUUCGGUCGGUACACACCACCUCCACCACUCCAACACCCCCCACCUCCUUUUUUUUCCCCUCAGCACAGCCCAAGACAGACAAUAGACUGACCUCCGCUCACCUCUCUCACCAGAGCUCCGGGUCACCUCCACACAUCUGGGAGCCAUUUCCUCCCCAAAGGACUCACUUCCUGUGGGCAGUCGCUUAGCAUGGAGGUGUUUCUACAAGAGGUCAUGGUGGGAUCAUAGGAAAAGGUGAGCAGAUGUUCUCGCUUCCACUGAAGCUCAAGAUGCUCGCUGGAUCAUUAUCAAAUCAUGAUUGUCAAGUUUUGUUCAUGUCAACUUAAAACCAGCUUACAGCAGAGGAGACACAAACCAAAUACUC